CCAGGCAGCAUUUAAUUGCAGAGUGCGAGAGCUUUAGUUGGACUAAUGAGCUCAGCACUGGAGCCGGAACUCUUCCAGUCACACAUGGAGUCUUUUACCGUCGGAGCGUUACGGGGCGUCAGGAUUUCAGGUGGAGACCCAAGACAGAUUUCACAAAUUCAGGUACAGCGGAGUUUUUGAGAGAAUGCAGCAGAGACGAGAGACGGAGUGAGAGGGGGAGUGAGAGAGAGAGAGAGAGAGAGAGACCUGCAGCAGCAAAUGAGACAGAACGAGGCGGGAGAGAUAGAAAGAGAGGGAGGAGGAGAGGGGCCCAGGGUAGAAGAAGGAAACACUAGGUGAAGGAGAAGGGGAAAAGAAGAAGGAAAAAGUUAAGUAAGCAAAGCAAAGACAAGUCAAAGACAGACACAGGAAAGUUGAAGACGGGAAACAACAGACAGGAAGGAAGGGGAGGAGAAGUUUGGGGCAGAGGAAGAAAAAAAAGCUGCUGAAGAAAAGUUUUUGUGGGAAGGCGUAGAUGAGGAAAACAGAAUAGUGAAUGACUGGGCAGGAGAGAGCGGAGGAAGGAGGGAUUCAGUUGCUGCCGAAGGUGUUUUCGACAAAAGCUUCUGGACCUUGUUGGACAUGUACCCAGAAGGAGCGCAGCCAACGGGACACCACAGAUUUCUUCAUCACAACAGCAACACCUACUGCCCCUGCCAGCGCUGCGUCCACCAUGAGCUGCCAUACAGCCUUCAGAGAGGACUGGGACACCAGCCAGCGUCCACCAGACUGACCGCGCACAGGGCGAACUAUGGUCCUCAGGCAGACAGAGUCCAGAGAAGUGGCCACCAUAGUCCACAGAGGAGGCCUGUGUUUGUGGGACCUGGCCCUUCCGGGCAGUCAGAUGACUUCAGUCAAGUUUGCCCGAGGGAGUUGAACCCUGCCCCGUGGAUUUACCCACAGGAGUGUGGGGUGAGACACUACCCAUCUGUCAGGGAACAGUGUGGCUGUGUGAUGCGUCGCGACACCAGGGCGAUCCCUUUCAACGCUGGAAUGCCACAUCCGCUCCCCCAUCUUCAGGUCAAAGGUGAGGAGCACAGAAAGAGAAGGGCUGUCAGGUACGCGCCUGCUAACAAAGACGAAGAAGACGCGGCUCAAAGACGUUAUUCAGAGCCUCCUGCUUCCCAUGUGGAUCAUUCAUUAAAGCCUAAUGGCCACUGUGGACCAAGGACUGUGUUCUUUGAGGGAGGGGAGGAAAGAGAUAUCCAUCAGGACUGGGACAGACAAAAGGGUGGAUCAGAGGAGGUCUGUAAUGGGCAUUGUGACUCUCCCAAGGGUUUCUUCGCGACUGAAGUCCCACAGAAGCACUUGAACCAAAGGAAAUCAAAGGGGACCACCGUCGGUGGUGUGGUCGACGCAGAGCCCUCCAAGGUGACACAGUUGAGUGCAAGCAAGCACCACACGGGUUUGGAGGUGGUGAAGAAGAAGAGGCCGGAUUCAGUCAGGGAUCAAAUCAGGCAGGUGGUGAUGGACCUGGAGGACGUGCUGGGGGGGUUGAAGCAAGUCCAUGUGGAGAUGAAACAGGUCGUUGAGCAGAUUGAUCGUCUGACAGCCAAUAUCGACCUCAGCGAGGAGACGCCUACCAUAAAUCAGAGUGCAUCCAAUAAUGCCUCCACUCGUCCUGCUGACCCCAAGGCGGCCUCCCCGCCGAACCACAGGUCGGCUCCGGCGCAGGGUGCAGCGCAUCCAAACGAAGACCGCAUCAUACUGAGGACCAACGCUCCGUCGCCCAUUCACAUGGCGUCUGUUGUGAAAACCAGCUGCUUCAUACCCCCGACGCACAGGAAGGAGGGCAACCAAGAGAGGCCAGGAGCGAACGGUCACCCGCCUCACCUGUAUUCCAACCACAUCGGCCAGCCCGAGUCUCAAACGCUGACCGCAGACUCCACUGAGAUCACUGGGAAUGGUAACGUCGGAUCUAAAACUCAAAAGCCGCCGCCAUACCCUCAGAAUGGACGCUGUGCAAAAGGCUCCCACAAGGCUUUGAGGACCCCUACGCACAGUGGAAGAGGCCGCCACACCACCAGCAUAGUCUGAAGGAGGGAGUGGUCCUCCCCCCAGCAUCAUGGGGGCAUGAAACAUGAGACCCCGCGGCUGCCGGUGGAGGUCAAAGUGGGACCAGGCGGGGAAACAACUCAUGGAGCUGACGGUGUCCAGGCAAGUGGAGAAGGAGCUGUUUCACUGCGGAAACUCCAGGUGCCGCCGCUUGUCAAGCAGCGUGGAACUGAGCGACAGUUUCUGCUUAUGGAAUGACAAACCACGACAAAAGCAGGGGGAACAUUAAAACAUAUUUUCAUGUCAGCAUUAAAUUAUUACAAUCCGAAUGUUGCGUUAUUAAAGGUAAAGCAGAUUUCCUGGCAGCUGGAACCAGCGCGGAUACUACCUAUCCUGGUGGAUGCUCUUAUAAAAUGAAGAUAUUUUAUAAAUACAUUUAUGUGAUUUCUUAGUAUCUAAGUAUGUAGAAGACCAACGUGUUCUGAUGAAAAUAUUCUGUGCUUUUUAUGUCACACGUCAA